rnacentral:rRNA from 1 species
CCCCGUAACUUCGGGAGAAGGGGGGCCACAGACUGUCAAACUCCAUGCGGGUGGCAGCGGUAGGUGGCCGCAGAGACCAGGGGGAAGCGACUGUUUACUAAAAACACAGGUCCGUGCGAAGUCGUAAGACGAUGUAUACGGACUGACGCCUGCCCGGUGCUGGAACGUUAAGGGGACCGGUUAGUCCGCAGGGGCGAGGCUGAGAACUUAAGCGCCAGUAAACGGCGGUGGUAACUAUAACCAUCCUAAGGUAGCGAAAUUCCUUGUCGGGUAAGUUCCGACCUGCACGAAUGGCGUAACGACUUCCCUACUGUCUCAACCAUAGGCCCGGCGAAAUUGCACUACGAGUAAAGAUGCUCGUUACGCGCGGAAGGACGGAAAGACCCCGGGACCUUCACUAUAGCUUGACAUUGGUACUCGAAUUGAAUUGUGUAGGAUAGGUGGGAGACUAUGAAGCUCGGACGCCAGUUCGGGUGGAGUCAAACUUGAAAUACCACUCUGUUGAAUUUGGGUAUCUAACUUCGGACCGUGAUCCGGUUCAGGGACAGUGUCUGGUGGGUAGUUUAACUGGGGCGGUUGCCUCCUAAAAUGUAACGGAGGCGCCCAAAGGUUCCCUCAGCCUGGUUGGCAAUCAGGUGUUGAGUGCAAGUGCACAAGGGAGCUUGACUGUGAGACUGACAGGUCGAGCAGGGACGAAAGUCGGGACUAGUGAUCCGGCACCUGCGAGUGGAAGCGGUGUCGCUCAACGGAUAAAAGGUACCCCGGGGAUAACAGGCUGAUCUUCCCCAAGAGUCCAUAUCGACGGGAUGGUUUGGCACCUCGAUGUCGGCUCGUCGCAUCCUGGGGCUGGAGUAGGUCCCAAGGGUUGGGCUGUUCGCCCAUUAAAGCGGCACGCGAGCUGGGUUUAGAACGUCGUGAGACAGUUCGGUCCCUAUCCUCCGCGCGCGCAGGGGACUUGAGAAGGGCUGUCCCUAGUACGAGAGGACCGGGACGGACGAACCUCUGGUGUGCCAGUUGUCAUGCCAAUGGCACGGCUGGUUAGCUACGUUCGGAAGGGAUAACCGCUGAAAGCAUCUAAGCGGGAAGCCUGCUUCAAGAUGAGGUCUCCCACCCCUUGAGGGUUAAGGCCCCCAGCUAGACCACUGGGUUGAUAGGCCAGAAGUGUAAGCCUGGUAACAGGUUCAGCCGACUGGUACUAAUAGGCCGAGGACUUAACUC